CCUACGGGAGGCAGCAGUGGGGAAUAUUGCGCAAUGGGCGAAAGCCUGACGCAGCGACGCCGCGUGAGGGAUGAAGGUCUUCGGAUCGUAAACCUCUGUCAGCAGGGAAGAACGGUCCCUGUGCUAAUCAGCAUUGCAUUGCCGGUACCUGCACAGUAAGCACCGGCUAACUCCGUGCCAGCAGCCGAGGUAAUACGGAGGGUGCGAGCGUUAAUCGGAAUUACUGGGCGUAAAGCGCGCGUAGGCGGUAUGUCAAGUCAAGGGUGAAAUGCCCGGGCGUAACGUGGGAAAUGACUUUGAAAAUGGCAAACUGGAGGGUGGGAGAGGAGAGUGGAAUUCCAGGUGUAGGAGUGAAAUCCGUAGAGAUCGGGAGGAACAUCAGUGGCGAAGGCGACUAGCUGGAACAUAACUGACGCUGAGGAGCGAAAGCGUGGGUAGCAAACAGGAUUAGAUACCCCGGUAGUC
rnacentral:rRNA from 1 species